rnacentral:rRNA from 1 species
GACGUGCUAAUCUGCGAUAAGCGUCGGUAAGGUGAUAUGAACCGUUAUAACCGGCGAUUUCCGAAUGGGGAAACCCAGUGUGUUUCGACACACUAUCAUUAACUGAAUCCAUAGGUUAAUGAGGCGAACCGGGGGAACUGAAACAUCUAAGUACCCCGAGGAAAAGAAAUCAACCGAGAUUCCCCCAGUAGCGGCGAGCGAACGGGGAGCAGCCCAGAGCCUGAAUCAGUGUGUGUGUUAGUGGAAGCGUCUGGAAAGGCGCGCGAUACAGGGUGACAGCCCCGUACACAAAAAUGCACAUGCUGUGAGCUCGAUGAGUAGGGCGGGACACGUGGUAUCCUGUCUGAAUAUGGGGGGACCAUCCUCCAAGGCUAAAUACUCCUGACUGACCGAUAGUGAACCAGUACCGUGAGGGAAAGGCGAAAAGAACCCCGGCGAGGGGAGUGAAAAAGAACCUGAAACCGUGUACGUACAAGCAGUGGGAGCACGCUUAGGCGUGUGACUGCGUACCUUUUGUAUAAUGGGUCAGCGACUUAUAUUCUGUAGCAAGGUUAACCGAAUAGGGGAGCCGAAGGGAAACCGAGUCUUAACUGGGCGUUAAGUUGCAGGGUAUAGACCCGAAACCCGGUGAUCUAGCCAUGGGCAGGUUGAAGGUUGGGUAACACUAACUGGAGGACCGAACCGACUAAUGUUGAAAAAUUAGCGGAUGACUUGUGGCUGGGGGUGAAAGGCCAAUCAAACCGGGAGAUAGCUGGUUCUCCCCGAAAGCUAUUUAGGUAGCGCCUCGUGAAUUCAUCUCCGGGGGUAGAGCACUGUUUCGGCAAGGGGGUCAUCCCGACUUACCAACCCGAUGCAAACUGCGAAUACCGGAGAAUGUUAUCACGGGAGACACACGGCGGGUGCUAACGUCCGUCGUGAAGAGGGAAACAACCCAGACCGCCAGCUAAGGUCCCAAAGUCAUGGUUAAGUGGGAAACGAUGUGGGAAGGCCCAGACAGCCAGGAUGUUGGCUUAGAAGCAGCCAUCAUUUAAAGAAAGCGUAAUAGCUCACUGGUCGAGUCGGCCUGCGCGGAAGAUGUAACGGGGCUAAACCAUGCACCGAAGCUGCGGCAGCGACACUAUGUGUUGUUGGGUAGGGGAGCGUUCUGUAAGCCUGUGAAGGUGUACUGUGAGG